rnacentral:rRNA from 1 species
AGAACGAACGCUGGCGGCAGGCCUAACACAUGCAAGUCGAGCGCACCGCAAGGUGAGCGGCAGACGGGUGAGUAACACGUGGGAACCUUCCUAUUAGUAUGGAAUAGCCCGACGAAAGUCGGAUUAAAUACCGUAUACGCCCUAAGGGGGAAAGAUUUAUCGCUAAUAGAUGGGCCCGCGUAAGAUUAGCUAGUUGGUGAGGUAAUGGCUCACCAAGGCUACGAUCUUUAGCUGGUUUGAGAGAAUGAUCAGCCACACUGGAACUGAGACACGGUCCAGACUCCUACGGGAGGCAGCAGUGGGGAAUAUUGGACAAUGGGCGCAAGCCUGAUCCAGCCAUGCCGCGUGGAGGACGAAUGCUUUCUGAGUUGUAAACUCCUUUCAGCAGGGACGAUUGUGACGGUACCUGCAGAAGAAGCACCGGCCAACUACGUGCCAGCAGCCGC